GCCUGCCGUGUACACAUUGAGUCAU
rnacentral:piRNA from 1 species